rnacentral:rRNA from 1 species
CCUACGGGGGGCAGCAGUGGGGAAUAUUGCGCAAUGGGCGAAAGCCUGACGCAGCGACGCCGCGUGAGGGAUGAAGGUCUUCUGAUCGUAAACCUCUGUCAGCAGGGAAGAACGGUCACUGUGCUAAUCAGCAGUGAAUUGACGGCACCUGUAAAGAAAGCACCGGUUAACUCCGUGCCAGCAGCCGCGGUAAUACGGAGGGUGCGAGCGUUAAUCGGAAUUACUGGGCGUAAAGCGCUCGUAGGCGGUAUGUCAAGUCAAGGGUGAAAUGCCCGCGCUCAACGUGGGAACUGCAUUGGAAACUGGGGGACUGGAGUGUGUGAGAGGAUAGAGGAAUUCGGGGUGUAGGGGUGA